AUAGAAUCUGAUUUUCUUUUUCAUAUAAUAGCAGGGAUAUGGCCUGCGAGUUUCUACCGGUCCCCCGUAAAGGGACUGACUAUGAAAAAGCUGUUACGUGCC
rnacentral:ncRNA from 1 species